rnacentral:lncRNA from 1 species
GCAGGCUGAGUCUGAGGAGCUGGCGGCACGAACAAGGGAGAGCUGUGUCCCCGCCGGCGUCCCCUGCCCCCCCCCGCCAGGGAUCUUGGCAGUGGAGGUGUUGGCUGGGCUCCACAGACCUCAGACCUCGGCUGGGACCAGAAAUGCCUGCUGCUUCCGCCUGGGCCCGGUGGGGGGACUUUGGGUCCCCAGAGUGCCAGCUGUGCCACUUCGAGGGGCCUCGCCAGGCUCCCCAGCCCCGAGUACACAGGGGCUGCUGUGGAGAUGACGCUCAAGGCCGCAGCCGCUGGAGGACCUGGGGUCUGACCGGAAGCUGGCUGCAGACCCUGCGGAGGCACGCCCAGGCCUCUGCUCUCCGGGGCUAUGGCCUCCCACAGGCACGUUCCUACACCCCUCUGUGAACUGCCCACAGGCCCCCCCACAGGUGUUCCUCUGUGAGCUGGUCGGGCGGCUGGGGCUGGGGCCGGGCUUUGCCACUCAGUGCCUUCAACCUCCCUGGCGGUUUGGGGCCUCAGGGUGGGCCUGGGAAGCUGGAAACACCUUUGGAAACAGCCGUCUGAAGCAGCUGUGGACAGAAGACCCUGCCCAGCAGCCAAGGGAGCUGGCCUCUCCGCUCAGCCUCCCCACCCCCACCA